GUCCCCUUCGUCUAGAGGCCUAGGACACCGCCCUUUCACGGCGGUAACAGGGGUUCGACUCCCCUAGGGGACG
rfam:Microbulbifer thermotolerans strain DAT221, complete genome.